UUGACAGCGCCGUGGUGCCCGUGAAAUGUGAUCGUUGUCCCCUAUAAUAGAAGCACGCCGACGACACGGCCGGACCGAAGUCACGCUAAUGUCAACGCGGGAACUCGGAAUUCCCUUUUAAACACGUCCAUUAUCCAGGAGAGCCUGGCCCUGCUGAAGAGGAUCGACGGUCAGGAUAUCCUUCAGAUCUGGAGCCCUGGGUGCAGCAUCAUUUGUGGGUAAGUCAGUCCUCAUUUUCUGAGAUUUUAUCUCCACUGUCAUGGGUCCAAACUAGUUUGAACAUGAGAAAUGAAAAGCAGGAACCAUAAGGCCAUAACGUUCAUUACAUUACAAAUAUCCAGUAAACACUGAAGCUGUGAAGGCAGCUUUAUUUCCCACCUCUGGGUCCUGGUCAUCCUGCAUAGAUUCAGUUUCAUUCAACUCUGGCUUCUCUGUGAAACCUCUUUCCAUUUCAAGGUCAGAAGGAGGUUCACCCUGGCCACCUUGCGUCAUUCCAGUGGUCUCCAUGCAGAAUCCCAUCUGAAUGUCAGCACAAGAGGACUCUGAGAGGACAGCAAAAUUAAAAUUCUAAGAAAACCACAAACCUGAUAGUCUGAACAGAGUAAGGUGAUUUGAGGAUCCCCCACCUUCCUAUCCCCUAAUGCCAAGAUCAUAAUGUUAUUACAUCUCAGUUGUUACAUUUUUAACUAAUCGCAAAAUCUUACAAAGACAAAUAACAUUCAAUGGUCAGUUCACAAAAAAAUAUCUUACUUUUAGUGAAGUCUAAGCAUUCAGAUAAUUUCAGUUCCAUGGUCUGAAGGCUUGAGACCUCUGAGCAAUUUUUUUAUCAUUUUUUAUCAUUUCAACGAUAUCCUUUCCCACUAAAAACUGUUGACGGUGAGGUCUGAAGAUUAUCCCGAGUAGCAGGAACAAUGUUCUUACCUGCUAGAACCUGCUGAUUUCCUUUUUCUAGCUCAUCCCAGUCAAAAGCUUUGCCCAUCUCUGUGACAAUCUCAGCGCUGACGUGUGUGGGGAGGGUGUGCGUCUCUGGGGGGUGUGUGAAGUAGCUGAUCCUUCCCCUGAAUAACAUAACACACGGACAUUAACACAGUGAUAAGAACACUGACUAAAUGUCAUUUGUAGAGCGUGAAAAACCCAGAUUUUUAACCCACCCUGUCCAGUCCAUUAACACACUCUUCGCUGCUUUAUCAGUGUCAGGCAGUCCUCCCUUCCUUAGUUUGCCUUGGCGCCGUGCAAGCAAUGCCAAGAACUCCAGAGCUGUGUGAAAGUCUGGAACUCCGUAGUGCUCCGUGAUCUGUGUGUCCAACAGAAACACUGUAACACUGCAGCAUGCAAAUCGCACGAUCAAGCAACGCUCGCGAUGGUUGUAACGGCAUUACGCACCUCCGCCUUGUUGCAGCGUCGGAGAAUGGCUUCAACUGGUGGAAGGGGAUCCACGAGCUGCUCAAUUUUCACACAGUUACGAAGAAUCAUUGCAGCAUCAGUCGUCGAAGUUGCCAUAACGAUGCCGGGGCAAUCUAGAAGCUUAAUGUGUUUGUCAAGAUGCACCUCUUGAAGGCACCUGAAAUCCAUCACAGCCAUUGGUAAAACAGGAAACAAGCCGGGUUUUGCAGGGGAAUGGUAUCAACAUUUUAACGUGUACAUACUUGGUGACACCAGGAGUGGCUCCAACACUACAUGCUCGGGCCCGUUUGAGACUGUUAAUCAAACUACUCUUGCCCACAUUUGGAAAACCUACAAAAAAUAAACGGCAAAGAAUUAUUUUACGUAGGACAACUUCACGUUAUCCACUAGAAAAACCAGGUGUAUUGCUGGAUGUAAUGCUUACCUACAACACCUACAGUGAUGGCCGUUUUUAUGUCCAGGUUGCGGCAGUAGUUUCCAAGUAGCUUCAUUAAGCAGUCUGCACCAACACAAGCACUGCUACUGAGAAGCUCUGUGGGGGCUUGUGUCACUGGAACAUUACUGCGUUUCUGUCCAAGUCGGGAGGGGGAAAUGGUUUAGUUUUAAUGUGAAAUUAUGUUAUUCUUUAUCUUUAAGAAUUUGGAAUGAGGUUGAGUUAUUUCAGAUUAUCCAAACUUAAAUAUUCAAUUACAUACCAAGUUCCUGGCCUGUUGCUGUGUAGAUGCUUUGAACGCCACGGUGGGAAACUCAUUACGAAGGUACUUGAUCCACUUUUCCACAAUUUCCUUUGACACCAGGUCUAAAAUCGAAUAUAAUACUUUAAAGUCAAGCAUCAAAUACUUCACACAAAACCUGUAAUAUCUGUCCCAUUCCAAUAUACAGAAAUAAAGUCUAAGCUAACUUACCAAUUUUAUUAAGUACUAAAACUAUCUUCUUGUUCCUCCCACUUUGAAUGACUGCCUGCUCCACCUGAGGACACCUGCAGCCCAGAGGGUCACGUGCAUCCAAAACCUCCAAAAUCACGUCUGCAGCCUCAACUACCUUUCGGAAGAAAACGUGUACACAUUAAAUGUGUAAAAUUAAUCCGAUGUGGACCAGUUUGUGGCAUAUGUGGAUUGGCUUCAUACCUUCUUAAAUUCUCUGUAAUAUGCUUUUCUUGAGUUCUCAUUUUCAAAAUUCACAUUCUUCUCCAAACUCUGCAUCUCCGUCUCCUACGGAACAAAAAAAAGGAAGAAAAAAAAAUCACGACCACAGCAAACUGAAAAUACGCAGUGAGUCCAUUAGCACUGAAUAGGCUUAUCUUUACCCUCUGCUCAAACUGUCGCUGUCGCUGCAGGAUGUCAUUCUGAAAGCUUUGCAAAUUUCUGCGCUUCAUCAGCUCUCGUUCUCUGGAGAUUUUUUGCUUCUCUUGGAACUCUUGGAGCUAAUUAGGAAAAGAAUAAUACAAAGGUUUUGUUCACUUCAAGAAAACAACGGGAACGUCAGCUCGGAUAUGAGAAAGCACUUGACAUUCGAAGAUUUACCCUUUGCUUCCUGGUUUCUUCUUGUCUUCUGUGGUUGUUGUUGACGUGAUGCACAGAUGACUGCUCUGUAAUCUUGGUCAACCCUGAUGCAUCACCGUUUCUUCCAUCUUUAGCCUGUCGACAAAAAACAUCCCAAAUAAGAUGUGCAAUAUUUUCCUAUGACCACCGUUGAUUGAAAAGGCCUCACAAAGCAAGCUGUGAAGCUAUAUGGUAAACGUAUCAACACACCAUAUAAGCGAGGCUCUGUGAACACAAUAACCGACAAUACAAGAGAAAAUCAAAUUAAUCUGAUUUGUAAAAGAAUAAACACAGCACGAUGUAGCACAAGAGAUGAUUACCAAGCAUGUAGUGUUUUUAUCACAUGGUCAGUCAUCCAAAUGCGUUUUUUCUAGAGCCUGACCAAUAUGAGAGUAAGCCAAUAUUUGCCAAUCAUAGAUAUAUCAAAAUAAGCUUCUAUGUUGGCUGAUACGACAAAGAUGCUUUGGAUGAUUUAGAAAUGGUGCUAUCACAUAGUUCAUCCGGCUGAACAAGCUCUGACUGCACUGUUUUAGGGCUGCGACUAACGAUUAUUUUCAUUAUCGAUUAUUUUGUCGAUUGUUUUCACGAUUAAUCUAUUAGGUGUUUGAUCCAUAAAAUGGUGAAAAAUGUCAAAUGUGUUUCCCCAAACCACAAGAUGAUAUUUUGUUUCGUCCAGACGGUGAAGAUAAUUAGUUUACCGUCAUAGAGGAGCAAAGAAACCAGAAAAUAUUCACAUUCAAGAAGCUAAAAUCUGAGAAUUUUGACUUUCCCCCCACAAAAACUACUAGAAUCGAUUAAUCGUUUAUCAAAAAAGUUGCAGAUUUAUUCAGUAGUCGAUUACUUAUUUAUUAACUGUUGUAGCUCUAAACUGUUUACAACACUCUCAGUACCGUCUGCGGAUCACGUAGCAGAGCAUCACAGCUCAGCAGACAGUGGUGCCUUAGUUAGUGAUCAAUAACUUUAAUUUUAGAAUUUUAUUUCACUCCCUAAAAUCAGUAUCGGCUCCUGCCACAAUAAUGAAGGCCCGAGUGUGUAGACAGACAGUUCAUCAGCCGGCCUUGAAUUAAACACUGGAUGGAAUUUGGUGAGAAGCAUAAAGUAUGUUUGAUUGUAUCUGAUCUAUAGACACUCUACAACUGUGUGGGCUGCUCAUACAGAUCCGUAGUGCCACAUACUAAUACAGCUGAAUGUUCAUAUAACCCUAUUACCUUGUAGGUGUUUUACAGUCAGAACGAUGUACUGUCAGUGCCUGUGUGUGUGUGUGUGUGUGUGUGUGUGUGUGUGUUAGUGUGUGAGUGUGUUCUCCUUAACAUUAACCUUCAGGGAUUUGCGUGUGACACUGACAUUUGUGGAAAGUAAAAGCUGAGGGCGCGACAGUUAGCCACAGACAACAUUAGCCGCGUUAGCAGCGCUCACCUUACACUUCCCCAGGAAGCCGAGGCGCUUCGCUCGCUUCUGUUCUGUGAAGUGCGACAAACGACACAGUCCGUUCAGAAUCAUCACACACGGCUGUACAAAGAGUGAACACAUUUAGUCUAAACCCGAUGAAGUACAUACUUGCUUUGGACAUUGCUCCGACCAGCGCCCUGCUCUCCCACUUCACGUGUGUGGCAUGAGAGCGUGUAGGCUACGGGCGCACGUGAUGACGCCAUAACAUAACAUCCGGCUACAUGUCAAAAUAAAAGAGCGCUCAAAUUUUGGCCACACCAAUUAAAAAUAAAAUAAUAAUGUAUCAAAACCCCUUUGAUUCACCAAUAACAAAGCACUUUUAAAGUGGGGUCUGUAUCAUUCAUUUAAGAAUUGUGUAUUAUUUAUUAACUAUAGACUUUUUCUAAAUAUAUAGUUUAUCUAUAAAGACUUAGUAUUAAAUAGGCUGUUAUAGUUACAUUUGUUGACCUGCUUAUGUUGCUACAAGAAAAAUUGAGGGAAGUCAUAAGGACACAUCCUCUGCGGACCUUAAAUACCUUAUAUCAAAUUGCAUGGCAAUUCAAUUAUGGUGAAGAUAUUUCACUCAAAAGCAAGAAUGUCCACCUAAUAAUUAGUAAACUACAGUGGCUCUGUGAACACUGUGCUGCAAUGUAAGAAAACACACAGAAAAAGACACACCACAAGCAAAUGAGAAAAAAAUAUUGGCACCAAUUUGGCAAACAGUGGGCAAGAGACGGUUAUACUCUGGACAGGUGAUGACACUGAACAUAGAGGCAACCGCCUCAUUCACAACUACGUUCCAUUUCGAGAAGAGUAACUUCCACAGAUCAGACUAUAGUCUCAAAUGAUGACUCCAAACACAGGUAACCCGGAUGGCCAAAAACCCCAGAGUCAAGCCACUUGAUAUUUGAUAGUCUUCCCUGAAUUAGGUGCAAAUAUAUGUGUAUAUGUUUUUCUAUGUGUGUUCAGCUGUUUCUCUGAAAUCGUCAAGACAGCCUUAUACCUGCAACUGGUAAGAUUAUUGAUAGCCUGGAUUAAACCUGCCUUGAAUUUGAGACCUGCACAUUGAAACAUGAAAACACACCUAUUCAGUAUGGCCCUACUCUGUGUAACUUUUUAGGAAUGUUUUAGUAUUUAACUGUGCUCUAUUUGUCUGUUGUUGUUGUUGUUGUUUAUUGCUCUGUAUUUAUGUCUGGUCUGUUUUUACUGUUGUCCAUCUGUUUUUAUCUUGUAAGGUGUUUUUGAGUAUCCUGAAAGGCGCCCAUAAAUAAAAUGUAUUAUUAUUAUUA